rnacentral:rRNA from 1 species
AUACGUAGGGUGCAAGCGUUAAUCGGAAUUACUGGGCGUAAAGCGUGCGCAGGCGGUUUUGUAAGACAGUGGUGAAAUCCCCGGGCUCAACCUGGGAACUGCCAUUGUGACUGCAAGGCUGGAGUGCGGCAGAGGGGGAUGGAAUUCCGCGUGUAGCAGUGAAAUGCGUAGAUAUGCGGAGGAACACCGAUGGCGAAGGCAAGCCCCUGGGCCGGCACUGACGCUCAUGCACGAAAGCGUGGGGAGCAAACAGGAUUAGAUACCCUGGUAGUCCACGCCCUAAACGAUGUCAACUGGUUGUUGGGGAUUUAUUUUCUCAGUAACGAAGCUAACGCGUGAAGUUGACCGCCUGGGGAGUACGGCCGCAAGGUUAAAACUCAAAUGAAUUGACGGGG